UGGGGAAUUUUGGACAAUGGGCGCAAGCCUGAUCCAGCCAUGCCGCGUGUGUGAAGAAGGCCUUCGGGUUGUAAAGCACUUUCGGACGGAACGAAAUCGCGCGGGUUAACAGCCCGCGUGGAUGACGGUACCGUAAGAAGAAGCACCGGCUAACUACGUGCCAGCAGCCGCGGUAAUACGUAGGGUGCGAGCGUUAAUCGGAAUUACUGGGCGUAAAGGGUGCGCAGGCGGCCCCGCAAGUCAGGCGUGAAAUCCCCGAGCUCAACUUGGGAAUGGCGCUUGAAACUACGGGGCUGGAGUGUGGCAGAGGGAGGUGGAAUUCCACGUGUAGCGGUGAAAUGCGUAGAUAUGUGGAGGAACACCGAUGGCGAAGGCAGCCUCCUGGGCCAACACUGACGCUCAUGCACGAAAGCGUGGGGAGCAAACAGGAUUAGAUACCCUGGUAGUCCACGCCCUAAACGAUGACGACUAGUUGUUGGAGGAGUUAAAUCCUUUAGUAACGAAGCUAACGCGCGAAGUCGUCCGCCUGGGGAGUACGGUCGCAAGAUUA
rnacentral:rRNA from 1 species